rnacentral:rRNA from 1 species
CGACCGGCCACACUGGGACUGAGACACGGCCCAGACUCCUACGGGAGGCAGCAGUGGGGAAUAUUGCACAAUGGGCGCAAGCCUGAUGCAGCGACGCCGCGUGAGGGAUGACGGCCUUCGGGUUGUAAACCUCUUUCAGUAGGGACGAAGCGCAAGUGACGGUACCUACAGAAGGAGCACCGGCCAACUACGUGCCAGCAGCCGCGGUAAUACGUAGGGUGCGAGCGUUGUCCGGAAUUACUGGGCGUAAAGAGCCCGUAGGCGGUUUGUCGCGUCGUCUGUGAAAACCCGAGGCUUAACUUCGGGCCUGCAGGCGAUACGGGCAGACUUGAGUACUGUAGGGGAGACUGGAAUUCCUGGUGUAGCGGUGGAAUGCGCAGAUAUCAGGAGGAACACCGGUGGCGAAGGCGGGUCUCUGGGCAGUAACUGACGCUGAGGAGCGAAAGCGUGGGUAGCGAACAGGAUUAGAUGCCCUGGUAGUCCACGCCGUAAACGGUGGGUACUAGGUGUGGGUUUCCUUCCACGGGAUCCGUGCCGUAGCUAACGCAUUAAGUACCCCGCCUGGGGAGUACGGCCGCAAGGCUAAACUCAAUGGAAUUGACGGGGGCCCGCACAAGCGGCGGAGCAUGUGGAUUAAUUCGAUGCAACGCGAAGAACCUUACCUGGGUUUGACAUAUAGAGGAUCGCCGCUGAGAUAUGGUUUGCCUU